UACGUAGGGGGCUAGCGUUGUCCGGAAUCAUUGGGCGUAAAGCGCGUGUAGGCGGUUCGGUAAGUCCGCUGUGAAAGUCGGGGGCUCAACCCUCGGAUGCCGGUGGAUACUGUCGAGCUUGAGUACGGAAGAGGCGAGUGGAAUUCCUGGUGGUAGCGGUGAAAUGCGCAGAUAUCAAGGAGGAACACCAAUUGCGAAGGCAGCUCGCUGGGACGUUACUGACGCUGAGACGC
rnacentral:rRNA from 1 species